rnacentral:rRNA from 1 species
GACGAACGCUGGCGGCGUGCUUAACACAUGCAAGUCGAACGGAAAGGCCCUGCUUUUGUGGGGUGCUCGAGUGGCGAACGGGUGAGUAACACGUGAGUAACCUGCCCUUGACUUUGGGAUAACUUCAGGAAACUGGGGCUAAUACCGGAUAGGAGCUCCUGCUGCAUGGUGGGGGUUGGAAAGUGUCGGCGGUUGGGGAUGGACUCGCGGCUUAUCCGCUUGUUGGUGGGGUAGUGGCUUACCAAGGCUUUGACGGGUAGCCGGCCUGAGAGGGUGACCGGCCACAUUGGGACUGAGAUACGGCGCAGACUGGUACGGGCGGCAGUAGGCGGGAAUAUUGCACAAUGGGCGGAAGCCUGAUGCAGAAGCGCCGCGUGCGGGAUGACGGCCUUCGGGUUGUAAACCGCUUUGGCCUGUGACGAGGCGGGAGUGACGGUAAUGGGUAAAGAAGCACCGGCUAACUACGUG